CCCAUUCUGGAUCUGCACAGGGCAAGAUGAUGAGCGGAGUUGGGGGCUUUGUGCUGGGGCUGCUCUUCCUGGGUGCAGGGCUGUUCAUCUACUUCAGGAACUCAAAAGGCCACUCUGGGCUUCAGCCAGCAGGACUCCUGAGCU